rnacentral:rRNA from 1 species
GACGUAGGGCGCGAGCGUUGUCCGGAUUUAUUGGGCGUAAAGAGCUCGUAGGCGGCUUGUCGCGUCGACUGUGAAAUCCCGCGGCUCAACUGCGGGUCUGCAGUCGAUACGGGCAGGCUAGAGUUCGGUAGGGGAGACUGGAAUUCCUGGUGUAGCGGUGAAAUGCGCAGAUAUCAGGAGGGAACACCGGUGGCGAAGGCGGGGUCUCUGGGCCGAUACUGACGCUGAGGAGCGAAAGCGUGGGGAGCGAACAGG